GUGCUCGCUUCGGCAGCACAUAUACUAAAAUUGGAACGAUACAGAGAAGAUUAGCAUGGCCCCUGCACAAGGAUGACACGCAAAUUCUGAAGCGUUCUAGACAUGCCU